UCAGGACGAUGAAUUCUUACCUUCUCGUGGUGUCCAGCGUCAGUAUUCAUCUGCUUGAUGAAGAAGCUGAAAAGAAUU
rnacentral:ribozyme from 1 species